rnacentral:rRNA from 1 species
UACAGAGGGUGCUAGCGUUGUUCGGAAUCACUGGGCUUAAAGGGCGCGUAGGCGGGCUGCCAAGUCUGGGGUGAAAUCCCACGGCUCAACCGUGGAACUGCCUCGGAUACUGGCGGCCUCGAGGGAGGUAGGGGCGUGCGGAACUGUGGGUGGAGCGGUGAAAUGCGUUGAUAUCCACAGGAACUCCGGUGGCGAAGGCGGCACGCUGGACCUCUUCUGACGCUGAGGCGCGAAAGCCAGGGGAGCAAACGGG